UACGUAGGGGGCGAGCGUUGUCCGGAUUUAUUGGGCGUAAAGAGCUCGUAGGCGGCUUGGCAAGUCGGGUGUGAAACCUCCAGCUCAACCUGGAGACGCCACUCGAUACUGCCAUGGCUAGAGUCCGGUAGGGGACCACGGAAUUCCUGGAUGUAGCGGUGAAAUGACGCAGAUAUCAGGAGGAACACCGGUGGCGAAGGCGGUGGUCUGGGCCGGCACUGACGCUGAGGAGCGAAAGCGUGGGUAGCAAACAGG
rnacentral:rRNA from 1 species